CCGACCUUAGCUCAGUUGGUAGAGCGGAGGACUGUAGUGGUAAUUGUCAGAGCAAUCCUUAGGUCGCUGGUUCGAAUCCGGCAGGUCGGA
rfam:Gossypium raimondii Chr06_contig_941, whole genome shotgun sequence.